GAACCGUCCAAACGUUAUUCGGAAUCACUGGGCUUAAAGGGUGCGUAGGCGGCCUGGAAAGUUGGGGUGUGAAAUCCCUCGGCUCAACCGAGGAAUUGCGCUCAAAACUUCCAGACUUGAGGGAGAUAGAGGUGAGCGGAACUUAAGGUGGAGCGGUGAAAUGCGUUGAUAUCUUAAGGAACACCGGUGGCGAAAGCGGCUCACUGGAUCUCUUCUGGCGCUGAGGCACGAAAGCUAGGGUAGCGAACGGGAUUAGAUACCCCGGUAGUCCUAGCUGUAAACGAUGAGCACUGGGUCGGAGGCCCCCCCAUAGGCUUCCGGCCGAAGCGAAAGUGUUAAGUGCUCCGCCUGGGGAGUAUGGUCGCAAAGGCUG
rnacentral:rRNA from 1 species